GGAGCUUUGCCUCCCGGAUGUUAGCGGCGGACGGGUGAGUAACACGUGGGUAACCUGCCUGUAAGACUGGGAUAACUCCGGGAAACCCGGGAANCUAAUACCGGAUAGUUCCUUGAACCGCAUGGUUCAAGGAUGAAAGACGGUUUCGGCUGUCACUUACAGAUGGACCCGCGGCGCAUUAGCUAGUUGGUGGGGUAAUGGCUCACCAAGGCGACGAUGCGUAGCCGACCUGAGAGGGUGAUCGGCCACACUGGGACUGAGACACGGCCCAGACUCCUACGGGAGGCAGCAGUGGUCU
rnacentral:rRNA from 1 species